GGUGGAUGAGUGGCGAACGGGUGAGUAACACGUGAGUAACCUGCCCCUGACUUCGGGAUAAGCCCGGGAAACUGGGUCUAAUACCGGAUACGACUGCCGGACGCAUGUCUGGUGGUGGAAAGUUUUUUCGGUUGGGGAUGGGCUCGCGGCCUAUCAGUUUGUUGGUGAGGUAAUGGCUCACCAAGACGACGACGGGUAGCCGGCCUGAGAGGGCGACCGGCCACACUGGGACUGAGACACGGCCCAGACUCCUACGGGAGGCAGCAGUGGGGAAUAUUGCACAAUGGGGGAAACCCUGAUGCAGCGACGCAGCGUGCGGGAUGACGGCCUUCGGGUUGUAAACCGCUUUCAGCAGGGAAGAAGCGCAAGUGACGGUACCUGCAGAAGAAGUACCGGCUAACUACGUGCCAGCAGCCGCGGUAAUACGUAGGGUACGAGCGUUGUCCGGAAUUAUUGGGCGUAAAGAGCUCGUAGGUGGUUGGUCACGUCUGCUGUGGAAACGCAACGCUUAACGUUGCGCGUGCAGUGGGUACGGGCUGACUAGAGUGCAGUAGGGGAGUCUGGAAUUCCUGGUGUAGCGGUGAAAUGCGCAGAUAUCAGGAGGAACACCGGUGGCGAAGGCGGGACUCUGGGCUGUAACUGACACUGAGGAGCGAAAGCAUGGGGAGCGAACAGGAUUAGAUACCCUGGUAGUCCAUGCCGUAAACGUUGGGCACUAGGUGUGGGGGGCAUUCCACGUUCUCCGCGCCGUAGCUAACGCAUUAAGUGCCCCGCCUGGGGAGUACGGUCGCAAGGCUAAAACUCAAAGGAAUUGACGGGGGCUCGCACAAGCGGCGGAGCAUGCGGAUUAAUUCGAUGCAACGCGAAGAACCUUACCAAGGCUUGACAUACACCGGACCGUCCUGGAAACAGGUCCUCUUCUUUGAAGCUGGUGUACAGGUGGUGCAUG
rnacentral:rRNA from 1 species